rnacentral:rRNA from 1 species
GAAAGCCUGAUGCAGCGACGCCGCGUGAGUGAAGAAGUAUUUCGGUAUGUAAAGCUCUAUCAGCAGGGAAGAAAAAUGACGGUACCUGACUAAGAAGCCCCGGCUAACUACGUGCCAGCAGCCGCGGUAAUACGUAGGGGGCAAGCGUUAUCCGGAUUUACUGGGUGUAAAGGGAGCGUAGACGGCGAAGCAAGUCUGAAGUGAAAACCCAGGGCUCAACCCUGGGACUGCUUUGGAAACUGUUUUGCUAGAGUGUCGGAGAGGUAAGUGGAAUUCCUAGUGUAGCGGUGAAAUGCGUAGAUAUUAGGAGGAACACCAGUGGCGAAGGCGGCUUACUGGACGAUAACUGACGUUGAGGCUCGAAAGCGUGGGGAGCAAACAGGAUUAGAUACCCUGGUAGUCCACGCCGUAAACGAUCAAAAAGGGGUGUUGGGGGGCAAAGCCCUUCGUGCCGUUCGCAACGCCAGUAAGCAUUCCCCUUGGGAGUACGUUGCAAAGAAUGAAACUCAAAGGAAUGACGGGGACCCCGCACAAGCGGUGGAGCAUGUGGUUUAAUUGAAGCAACGCGAAGAACCUUACCAAGUCUUGACAUCCUCUUGACCGGCGUGUAACGGCGCCUUCCCUUCGGGGCAAGAGAGACAGGUGGUGCAUGGUUGUCGUCAGCUCGUGUCGUGAGAUGUUGGGUUAAGUCCCGCAACGAGCGCAACCCUUAUCCUUAGUAGCCAGCAGGUAAAGCUGGGCACUCUAGGGAGACUGCCAGGGAUAACCUGGAGGAAGGUGGGGAUGACGUCAAAUCAUCAUGCCCCUUAUGAUUUGGGCUACACACGUGCUACAAUGGCGUAAACAAAGGGAAGCAAGACAGUGAUGUGGAGCAAAUCCCAAAAAUAACGUCCCAGUUCGGACUGUAGUCUGCAACCCGACUACACGAAGCUGGAAUCGCUAGUAAUCGCGAAUCAGAAUGUCGCGGUGAAUACGUUCCCGGGUCUUGCACAAAGGGCCCGUC